CCAGGACAUUGUGCACAGUGGCUGGGGGUGGGGAGCUGAUUGCAGGGCAUUUCUGAGAAGCAGGGCCCUGUGCUUAUCCAUUUGCAAACACGGGAAAUGAUGACAGUGGUUGGAAGCUUUGAAGAGACAGGGGGAAGGGGAAAGAGAGAAGCCAGAAAGAAAAGGAUUGGGGGCUAAAAGAGACCUUGUCCAGAAAAGACUGAUAAAUUCUUCUUUUCAGAUUCCUUGAUCACUGUGCUGGAACAAUGAGACUCACCCUGAAGUGAUUGAUCAGGGGGCACUGCUCUCACAGGGACCCAAGGAGAAGGGAGAAGUCUCAGCCACAGCAACUGUGCUCGUUGUCAAAGGUGUGCACGAGUAUGUCCUAGUCACCAGCCCAAAUACACCUCAAGCCUUUCAUCAAUUCCACAGUGCCAUGCCUCAGCAAAAUCAUACUGAUUUUUAUCCAUGUGGCAUUUCUACAUGAAUUUACAUCAAAAUGAAGAAAAAGUCCAGGAUUUUUUUUGACGGACAUAAUUUACAAGACACAAGAUUUUUUGUAAAGAGUGGGUGGCCUAUUGAACAUGAUUAACUUGACUCUGAUGGAAAGGAAAAAAUAACCUGGAAACAUCUGGCAAAUUGUAAAGCAUUGCCUAACAUUUUUUUCCCUGUAGGAUUUAAUUCAGAAACAUACUUAAUGGAUCCCCAUUUACCUAAAGCACUAAAGGUUUUGAUGCAGGGGUUUGGGGGAUUUGGGUUUGGUUUCUCUCACCCUACUAGCUGUAGCUCUGUAAUAUUUCAUCUCAUACUCCUGAAUCCAUUAGAAAAAAUGUGCAAUUACAAGGUGGGCAUGGUGCUGCGUUGAUAAGGUGUUUACUGUUCCAGGCUGGUUUGUUGUGCUUUGUAUGCACAUUUGAGUCUUGAAAUAUGUGAAAAUUAAUUUCCUGUGUUCCAUAUGGCUAAAAUGACAUGUAAUUUGAAAUGUAAUUUAGGGACUCACAUAAAUAGAAAUUUGAAAAUGAUUUUUAAGAAUUAAAGCAAUGUUGGUAAAAUUUUUAGAGGAUUUUAUUUAAUUCACCAGGUAAU